rnacentral:rRNA from 1 species
UAGGGAAUCUUCGGCAAUGGGGGGAACCCUGACCGAGCAACGCCGCGUGAGUGAAGAAGGUUUUCGGAUCGUAAAGCUCUGUUGUUAAGGAAGAACGAGUGUGAGAAUGGAAAGUUCAUACUGUGACGGUACUUAACCAGAAAGGGACGGCUAACUACGUGCCAGCAGCCGCGGUAAUACGUAGGUCCCGAGCGCUGUCCGGAUUUAUUGGGCGUAAAGCGAGCGCAGGCGGUUAGAUAAGUCUGAAGUUAAAGGCAGUGGCUCAACCAUUGUCGGCUUUUGAAACUGUGUAACUUGAGUGCAGAAGGGGAGGGUGGAAUUCCAUGUGUAGCGGUGAACUGCGUAGAUAUAUGGAGGAACACCGGUGGCGAAGGCGGCUAUCUGGUCUGUAACUGACGCUGAGGCUCGAAAGCGUGGGGAGCGAACAGG